AAAGGUCCUGCCUGCCCAGUGAAAUAUUUUUAAACGGCCGCGGUAUUCUAACCGUGCAAAGGUAGCGUAAUCACUUGUCUUCCAAAUAAAGACCAGUAUGAAUGGCUAAAUGAGGACAAACCUGUCUCCUACACCCCAUCAGUGAAACUGAUCUUCCAGUCCAAAAGCUGGAAUAUUUACAUAAGACGAGAAGACCCUGUGGAGCUUAAAAUUCACUACUACAAACCCCUUCCCGCACAGCUAGUACAAGAUUUUAAGUUGGGGCGACUUCGGAACAAAACAAAACUUCCGAGCACAGAACCACCAUUUCUUACUAAGGCCUACAAGCCAAAGAAAACAUUGACCCAGUCAUACUGACCAACGAACCAAGUUACCCCAGGGAUAACAGCGCUAUCUUCUUCAAGAGUCCAUAUCGACAAGAAGGUUUACGACCUCGAUGUUGGAUCAGGGCACCCCAAUGGUGCAACCGCUAUUAAAGGUUCGUUUGUUCAACGAUUAACAGCC
rnacentral:rRNA from 1 species